rnacentral:lncRNA from 1 species
CUUCCCUUGUCUUCUUCUCUCUCUUCUUCUUUUGAGGUCUUCUUUCCGUCCCUCAGUUUUCUUUCUCUCACGUUGCUUCAGCAUUUUUUCCUCCAGUCUUCCCCUCUUGCCGAUCUUCACCUUCAAGGACGGAGGCAGGGGAGGCCCACGGGUGUACAGCUGUCUCUGUGCCUGGUAUGAAAAUUCCGAGAGAAAAGCUUUUUAAUCUGAAAAAAACGUUCAUUCCUAAAAGCCUUUUUAUUCCAAAAAGCAUCUUUUAUCCUGAAAAAGUCCAUUAAUCCCUAAAAAUUCUUUCAUCACGGCAAAAACGUGUGUCUUAAACAAAAGGUUUUUUCUGAAAAAAGUCUUUGUUCCGAAAAAUAGCCUUAUUAUGGAAAAAAAUUAAACUCUAAAAAAAAGUUCGUAUCCGAGGAAACACGUUUUCUCCGAAAAAACUUUUAUUCCGACAAAAUUCCUUUUCUUAUUCAGAAAAAAGGCGUACUUACAAAAAAACAUGUGUACUCGCCUUGCGCCAUCUCGCAGGCGUUUUUCUUCCCAGUCGUCCGUGACUCUCCAUUUGACAAUCGUGUAUCGUGAAGUCUCUGUUUUAAAUAGGUAGUCACAGCUUGCGCCGGCGUAGGUCCGAAUAUAAUCGAAGCGCAAAGCACUCGUUUCCGGUCGCCGAGUUCGGAACGAAGGGAAAAAAGCAAGAAGCUGUCUUGUCGCCGGAGAUCUUUUCAAACACACAAGAGAUCUCACGAAAACUCAAGAAGAAAGGAAAGAGCGUCGGUUCAGCGACCAUCAUUGCGAACUUGUUUAUGGUUCACUCCUACAGCUUUAGUCAGGCUCCGGGGGACUGAAGAUUUUUGGUGUGUGUUUGCAGGCGCUCUUUCGGAUUGAAGCUCGUCUGUAAAAAGACACAAAAUCUUUCGUCGUGGUGCUAGAACGGCACAUGGUCCACCUUGUUUUUCUGGCUGAAAAUCGGGGACAGAGACAAGUUUUCUGCUCGAUGGGUGACAGAAUCAGAUAACUCGCAGGGGGAAGAGUGCCUCUGAACUGAAAGGUUGCUUUCGCUUGAUCGUUCUCGAAGACCUCCUCCCGCGCUGCAGGAGUGCGUCGGAUACGCGCGUUCUCCUGUCCGCAACGGCAGUCUGCCAGUUCUUUCCAGAAAAUGGCUUCUGAAAUUCCUUUCAGUCUUUUUCGUCCUUUUUACUGGAGUAUCGGCC